CUUUGAAAUCACCUACCUAAUCCAUGGCCCUCAUUUCACAGAUGAAGAAACAGAUGUCGAGAAAGAUUAGGGAGUUGACUGGAUACUGCUUAUUAUACAAGCUGAUGGUGGAGAAAUAAUGAAAGAACAGCAAGUUGUUGGGAAAUGAAGUUCAUUCCUCUCAAUGGCUCCAGACUUGGGAUAAACCUGUCUCCGUGCUCAGAGAACACAAGAAGGUCUGAAUAAAAAGGUUUGCUCUCCAUGCCACCUUUGAAAACU